rnacentral:rRNA from 1 species
UUUUUUAAUUGAAAACUGGUAUGAAGGGUUGGACGAAAGAUAGACUAUUUUAAUAAAAUUUUUUGAAUUUUAUAUUUUAGUUAAAAAGCUAAAAUAAUUUUAAAAGACGAGAAGACCCUAUAGAGUUUUAUAAAAAUUAAAAAGAUAUUUUUUAUAAAUUUAAUUUUUUUUUUUAUAUUUUUAUUUUGUUGGGGUGAUAAUAAAAUUUAAUUAACUUUUAUUAAUACAUACAUAAAUUAAUGAUUUUUUGAUCUUUAUUUAAUGAUUAAAAAAUUAAAUUACCUUAGGGAUAACAGCAUAAUUUUUUUUUAAAGUUCUUAUUAAAAAAAAAGAUUAU